CGAGACAGUUUCGGACAGGAGCUUCUACCGACCGUCUUUCCUGCCGAACACCGUCCAAUGGAGUGAUCUGCGAGCGAGAGAGAGAGAGAGAGAGAUGAGAGCGAGAGGAAGAAACUGAGAAAUGGUGAGACCUGUGCGGGAGAGAGUGACGAGAGGUGUGCGGGACAGAGCGAGAAACAUAGAAAAAGAACGAAAGAGAGAGAUGGUGGAGAGACCGAGAGAGCGACAGCUGUGGGGGUUGUAGUAGGUGAAAAAAUAAAAGAGGGUGAGUUUAUAAUUUAUUGUGCAAAAUGAUUAAUAUCAACUAUUGGAUCUUUGAGUUAUGGGAU
rnacentral:lncRNA from 1 species